rnacentral:lncRNA from 1 species
GGUUUCAGUUUUGAGGGCAUUGAGUAUUUUUAAGUGAGUUUUUUGCUAUUUUUAAAAGUUUUUAUAAAAAUUGACAUUUAUAAAAGUAUGAGGUAAAUUUAACUAUUUUUUUAUAAAAACUCAAUAUUCUUACUACACCAACACUAGACUCACAAGUCGUUAGGUUAGUAUAAAUGGGAGUAGGGUAACACAUUAGGAUUAAGAUAGUUAUAGAAUUCAA